AGUUUGAUCCUGGCUCAGAUUGAACGCUGGCGGCAGGCCUAACACAUGCAAGUCGAACGGUAACAGAAAGUAGCUUGCUACUUUGCUGACGAGUGGCGGACGGGUGAGUAAUGUCUGGGGAUCUGCCUGAUGGAGGGGGAUAACUACUGGAAACGGUAGCUAAUACCGCAUAAUGUCGCAAGACCAAAGCGGGGGACUUUCGGGCCUCGCACCAUCAGAUGAACCCAGAUGGGAUUAGCUAGUAGGUAGGGUAAUGGCUUACCUAGGCGACGAUCCCUAGCUGGUCUGGGAGGAUGACCAGCCACACUGGAACUGAGACACGGUCCAGACUCCUACGGGAGGCAGCAGUGGGGAAUAUUGCACAAUGGGCGCAAGCCUGAUGCAGCCAUGCCGCGUGUAUGAAGAAGGCCUUCGGGUUGUAAAGUACUUUCAGUCAGGAGGAAGGGUGUGAAAUUAAUACUUUCAUGCAUUGACGUUACUGACAGAAGAAGCACCGGCUAACUCCGUGCCAGCAGCCGCGGUAA
rnacentral:rRNA from 1 species